rnacentral:lncRNA from 1 species
AAUAAUUAAACCCUCAAAUAAUUAAUUUUGGUAAUAAAAUAGAACAAAACACAACGCAGUAAGAAGAUAUGGGAGAAAAAGAACUUUUUCUUGGAAAAGUUUAGAUUACAUAUUGCACGUGGAAGAAAAAAGGAAUAAAAAAAUUACAGUACAAGCUUGCCUUUUUAAAAAUGGUUGAAGCCACCGAUUAGUUGUCUACGUAGAUAGAAAUCAUAUUGAUUUUAAAAUUUCAUGGAAAGGCAAUCACCUUUGUUUCUCGUCCUCAUUUUUUUGUGUGCACGACAACAAUAACAACUGCAAAUUCAAUAGAAUUUUACAUGUGAAAUUUAGGAAAAAUAAUAUAUAAUAUAUAUAAAGUAUGGUUGUGUAUUUAGAUC